AUUGAACGCUGGCGGCAUGCCUUACACAUGCAAGUCGAACGGCAGCACGGGAGCAAUCCUGGUGGCGAGUGGCGAACGGGUGAGUAAUGUAUCGGAACGUGUCCAGUCGUGGGGGAUAACGCAGCGAAAGCUGUGCUAAUACCGCAUAGGAUCUAUGGAUGAAAGCGGGGGAUCGCAAGACCUCGCGCGAUUGGAGUGGCCGAUAUCAGAUUAGCUAGUUGGUGGGGUAAAGGCUCACCAAGGCGACGAUCUGUAGCUGGUCUGAGAGGACGACCAGCCACACUGGAACUGAGACACGGUCCAGACUCCUACGGGAGGCAGCAGUGGGGAAUUUUGGACAAUGGGCGCAAGCCUGAUCCAGCAAUGCCGCGUGCAGGAUGAAGGCCUUCGGGUUGUAAACUGCUUUUGUACGGAGCGAAAAGGCCUUCUCUAAUACAGGGGGCUCAUGACGGUACCGUAAGAAUAAGCACCGGCUAACUACGUGCCAGCAGCCGCCGUAA
rnacentral:rRNA from 1 species